UGGGGAAUAUUGGACAAUGGGCGGAAGCCUGAUCCAGCAACGCCGCGUGAGGGAUGACGGCCUUCGGGUUGUAAACCUCUUUCAGUACCGACGAAGCGAAAGUGACGGUAGGUACAGAAGAAGGACCGGCCAACUACGUGCCAGCAGCCGCGGUAAUACGUAGGGUCCGAGCGUUGUCCGGAAUUAUUGGGCGUAAAGGGCUCGUAGGCGGUUUGUCGCGUCGGGAGUGAAAACAGCGGGCUUAACUCGUUGCUUGCUUUCGAUACGGGCAGACUAGAGGUAUGCAGGGGAGAAUGGAAUUCCUGGUGUAGCGGUGAAAUGCGCAGAUAUCAGGAGGAACACCGGUGGCGAAGGCGGUUCUCUGGGCAUUACCUGACGCUGAGGAGCGAAAAGUGUGGGGAGCGAACAGGAUUAGAUACCCCUGGUAGUCCACACCGUAAACGUUGGGCGCUAGGUGUGGGGUCCUUUCCACGGAUUCCGUGCCGUAGCUAACGCA
rnacentral:rRNA from 1 species